CCAGACUCCUACGGGAGGCAGCAGUGAGGAAUAUUGGUCAAUGGCCGAGAGGCUGAACCAGCCAAGUCGCGUGAGGGAAGACGGCCCUACGGGUUGUAAACCUCUUUUGUCGGGGAGCAAAGCGAACCACGUGUGGUUCAUUGAGAGUACCCGAAGAAAAAGCAUCGGCUAACUCCGUGCCAGCAGCCGCGGUAAUACGGAGGAUGCGAGCGUUAUCCGGAUUUAUUGGGUUUAAAGGGUGCGCAGGCGGGGGUGAAAGGCAGGGGUCAAAUGGGGGGGCCCACCCCCGGCCCGCCGUUGAAACUGGCAGUCUCGAGUUGGAGAGAAGUAUGCGGAAUGCGCGGUGUAGCGGUGAAAUGCAUAGAUAUCGCGCAGAACUCCGAUUGCGAAGGCAGCAUGCCGGCUCCACACUGACGCUGAGGCACGAAAGCGUGGGUAUCGAACAGGAUUAGAUACCCCUGUAC
rnacentral:rRNA from 1 species